CGCGUAGGCGGCUCUUUUAGUCAGGCGUGAAAGCCCCGGGCUUAACCUGGGAACAGCGUUUGAUACUGGAGAGCUUGAGUGUGGGAGAGGUUGGUGGAAUUCCCAGUGUAGAGGUGAAAUUCGUAGAUAUUGGGAAGAACACCGGUGGCGAAGGCGGCCAACUGGACCACAACUGACGCUGAGGCGCGAAAGCGUGGGGAGCAAACAGGAUUAGAUACCCUGGUAGUCCACGCCGUAAACGAUGUGUGCUUGACGUUGGCGGGUUUACCCGCCGGUGUCGUAGCUAACGCGAUAAGCACACCGCCUGGGGAGUACGGCCGCAAGGUUAAA
rnacentral:rRNA from 1 species